UACGUAGGUCCCGAGCGUUGUCCGGAUUUAUUGGGCGUAAAGCGAGCGCAGGUGGUUUAUUAAGUCUGGUGUAAAAGGCAGUGGCUCAACCACUGUAUGCAUUGGAAACUGGUAGCCUUGAGUGCAGGAGAGGAGAGUGGAAUUCCAUGUGUAGCGGUGAAAUGCGUAGAUAUAUGGAGGAACACCGGUGGCGAAAGCGGCUCUCUGGCCUGUAACUGACACUGAGGCUCGAAAGCGUGGGGAGCAAACAGG
rnacentral:rRNA from 1 species